AUUGAACGCUGGCGGCAUGCCUUACACAUGCAAGUCGAACGGUAACAGGUCUUCGGAUGCUGACGAGUGGCGAACGGUUGAGUAAUACAUCGGAACGUGCCCAGACGUGGGGGAUAACGAGGCGAAAGCUUUGCUAAUACCGCAUACGAUCUCAGGAUGAAAGCAGGGGACCGCAAGGCCUUGCCCGUUUGGAGCGGCCGAUGGCAGAUUAGGUAGUUGGUGGGAUAAAAGCUUACCAAGCCGACGAUCUGUAGCUGGUCUGAGAGGACGACCAGCCACACUGGGACUGAGACACGGCCCAGACUCCUACGGGAGGCAGCAGUGGGGAAUUUUGGACAAUGGGCGAAAGCCUGAUCCAGCAAUGCCGCGUGCAGGAUGAAGGCCUUCGGGUUGUAAACUGCUUUUGUACGGAACGAAAAGGCUCUGGCUAAUACCUGGGGCACAUGACGGUACCGUAAGAAUAAGCACCGGCUAACUACGUG
rnacentral:rRNA from 1 species